GUGAAUCAUCGAAUCUUUGAACGCACAUUGCGCCCGCCAGUAUUCUGGCGGGCAUGCCUGUUCGAGCGUCAUUUCAACCCUCAAGUCCCCUGUGGACUUGGUGUUGGGGACCGGCGACACACAGCUGUUUACAGUUGGUCGCCGCCCCCUAAAUGACUUGGCGGCCUCGUCGCGGCCCUCCUCUGCGUAGUAGCACACACCUCGCAACAGGAGCCCGGCGAAUGGCCACUGCCGUAAAACCCCCAACUUCUUUUUAGAGUUGACCUCGAAUCAGGUAGGAAUACCCGCUGAACUUAAGCAUAUCAAUAAGCGGAGGA
rnacentral:misc_RNA from 1 species